GGGAAUACAUUUUUGUGUCUUUACCCAUAGGAGAUGCAUUUCCUCCUAAGUUUUAGUUUUACCCAUAGGAGAUGCAUUUCCUCCUAGGUUUGUUUAGUUUCACCCAUAGGAGACGCAUUUCCUCCUAGGUUUGUUUUAGUUUCACCCCAUAGGAGAUGCAUUUCCUCCUAAGUUCAUUUUACCCAUAGGAGACGCAUUUCCUCCUAAGUUUAAGUUUUACCCAUAGGAGACGCAUUUCCUCCUAAGUUCACUUUUACCCAUAGGAGACGCAAGUUUAACCCAUAGGAGACGCAGUUCCUCCUAAGUUCAAGUUUUACCCCUAGGAGACGCAUUUCCUCCUAAGUUCAUUGUAGUUUCACCCGUAGGAGAUGCAUUUCCUCCUAAGUGGUUGUUAAAGAAAAAAAAACAAAAAAACAAAAAACAAAAAACAAAACCACAAAAAAUGACCUAGUCUGAUGAACCUUCUCCUAGGAUCCAAAUCUUAGUCCGAUGAAUUUUUCUCCUAAGAUAGAGACCUAGUCUGACGAACCUUCUCCUAGGAUCUAAAUCUUAGUCUGAUGAAU
rnacentral:lncRNA from 1 species